GGAAGGAUGGCCCAGUAGGUAGGGUGCUAGACUCUGACUCUGGAGUCCUGCAUUUCAUUCCUUCUU
rnacentral:tRNA from 1 species